UGGACCAUUGGUAACGCCUGGCGGUGCAUGUCCAGGAUGAUGAAUAACAUGUGUCUGGAUGUCUGAGAUCUGA
rfam:Myotis davidii contig131787, whole genome shotgun sequence.